UCCCUUGUAACUGAGUUGGUAGAGCAUGAUGCUUACAACGCCAGGGUUGUGGGUUCGAGUCCCACAGGGGAC
rfam:Salmo salar isolate Sally breed double haploid chromosome ssa08, whole genome shotgun sequence.